rnacentral:lncRNA from 1 species
GGAAAGUCCCUGGGGGAAUUUCCUUUCACAUCUUGGCAUGUGUUUUCCGGGGGAGGAAGUCCAUAGCCUCUUCCUAGAGGGAUUCCCCUUCCUGGGGACACCUCAUCCACCUCCCCAAACAGUCACUAUGGAGACCAUCUUUCAGAGGGGAGCAGAGGCGGGGCAGGCUCUGCCUGGCUUCCCUGGGUCCUGCAGCCUGUUUGGAGUAAGGGCUGAGGGCAGGGCAUCCUGACAUGCUGUGAAGUUUGAGUGGACCCAGGUACACCCUCUCUCCUCAUGGACUUGUCCCCUUCUCCACCGAAGGAGGUCACACUGAUAACUGGGCUAGCACAUGUGAAAUCCUGCAACGUUUUCCCCUGUGGACCGUGAUGGAUGGGUUGUACGUGGACAUCAAAAUCUCAUGGAUCUGAUAUGCACCGGGCUGGGCUCAGAGGGAAAAGGGAAGCUGGAGAAGUCGGGUGGGGGCUUCAUUAGAGGAGGGACUAGAGGAUGCUAUGAGGCCAAGGGUGAGCUAUGUGUGGGGUUCUUUGCCGUCAUCCCUGCCGUGACGGCUCCAAGCCCCCAGUACGCUGUCCUAGUGCCUUCUUUCACCAGUGUCUGCUGGAAUAUUCAUGGCUACAGUGGAACAAGACUCGGAAUGAGAAGGGCUCCGGAGAGAGGGCCACAGCUGUUCAGAGAGGGCUCCGGGCCACUUCCCAGGGGCUCUCGCCAAUCCUAUGCUUUACGCGGUUGAUUACAAAGUGGCUGCCAUGGCUUUGAGUACCAUAGCCACUCACAAUGGGAAGAGAAGCUCCUUGAGGCUUGAGGAAUGCUGAUAUGCCCCAUGCCUUGGCUAAACGGGAGUCCUGAGCUCCUUCCUCUCCAGGCAUCGCUAAAGGACAGGAUUUCCAGUGGCGCCUGAGACAGCCUUAAACACGCUCCUGCCAUUUUGUUCUACACAUCUCUAUGAGGCAGCGCCCUACGUGCUGAUGGUCAUCAAAUAAAAAUAUCGACCGACCCCUAGAAACACUGGAGCAGCCCUGAAUCCUGCAUAACCAACCAUUCAGCCACGGUUUCAUGCAUUCUGUAGCCGCAGAUGAGCACUUUUGUCUCUGUGCAAAUUUGCCUUUUGUCUCUAACAAUUGGUUAAUCAGAUAAACAGCAAAGAAUUAC